rnacentral:pre_miRNA from 1 species
AGGAGGAACAGCCCCAGUGGCGGGGCAGCUCUGGAAACCUGGAUUCAGCUCCGGCAGGAACUCCGGAGCUCUCCGUCUGCAGGGCCUGGGAGGCUCCGGGGCGGG